rnacentral:misc_RNA from 1 species
AUGUCCAUUCAUUGGGGUAUAGCAGGUGCUGGAAAAUAUCACAUGGUUUUGUAACAUGCUUACGAACAUUACCAGAAUCCGAACAUGUAGUUCUUGCAGUAGCGGCACGUGAACUAUCAAGGGCACAGAACUUUUCUAGCUUACAUAAAAUUAAAAAGGCGUUAUUACAAUUAUGUAGAGCUAGCUCUACAAUUAUGUAGAGCUAGCGAAAGACAAGAAUAUUGAUGUCGUAUAUAUUGGAACGUUACAUCCUCAACACUUUGACAUUGCAAAAUUAAUGUUAAAUCAUGGGAAACAUGUUUUAUGUGAAAAACCUUUAACUAUGAAUUUGAAGCAAACAACAGAGUUGAUAAAUUUAGCAAAGCAGAAGAAGUUGUUCUUAAUGGAAGAUGUCCAUUCAUUGGGGUAUAGCAGGUGCUGGAAAAAUAUCACAUGGUUUUGUAACAUGCUUACGAACAUUACCAGAAUCCGAACAUGUAGUUCUUGCAGUAGCGGCACGUGAACUAUCAAGGGCACAGAACUUUUCUAGCUUACAUAAAAUUAAAAAGGCGUUAUUACAAUUAUGUAAAGCUAGCUCUACAAUUAUGUAGAGUUAGCGAAAGACAAGAAUAUUG